rnacentral:rRNA from 1 species
ACUCCUACGGGAGGCAGCAGUAGGGAAUAUUGGUCAAUGAGUGAGCAGACCUGAACCAGCCAUGCCGCGUAGCAGAGACGGCUUCUGGGUUGUAAACUGCUUUUACCAGGGGAUAAAAGAUCUUGCGAGAUUAAUUGAAGGUACCUGGAGAAUAAGCACCGGCUAACUACGUGCCAGCAGCCGCGGUAAUACGUAGGGUGCAAGCGUUGUCCGGAUUUAUUGGGUUUAAAGGGUGCGUAGGCGGGCUAUUAAGUCAGUGGUGAAAUCCAGCAGCUUAACUGUUGAUGUGCCAUUGAUACUGGUAGUCUUGAGUACAGAUGAGGUAGGCGGAAUUGACAGUGUAGCGGUGAAAUGCAUAGAUAUUGUCAAGAACUCCGAUAGCGAAGGCAGCUUACUGGCUGUAACUGACGCUGAUGCACGAAAGUGUGGGGAUCAAACAGGAUUAGAUACCCUGGUAGGAUAGCGU